rnacentral:lncRNA from 1 species
AGGGAGGGGCCGCGGCGCACUGACGCGGAGACGGGCAGACUAGAGGCAAGAGGAAGGCUGUAGUCACCUCCACACUGGGGGGGGGGGGGGGGGGGGGGGGNNNNNNNNNNNNNNNNNNNNGGGGGGGGGGGGGGGGGGGGUAACCAAUACCUAUUGGGAAGGGUUAUGGGCUGAAUUGCGUCCCCAAAAUUCGUGUUGAAGCCCUAACGCCGAGGACCUCAGGAUGUGGCUGUAGUUGGAGAAGAGGCCUUCACAGAGAUGAUCAGGGUGAGCCCUCGUCCAAGGUGGUUCUUGUGAUUACGCGAAUAGGGGAUUAGGACACUGAAACGUGAGAGGGAAGGCCAUGUGAGGACACAGCGGGAAGACGGCCAUCCGCAAGCUAGGGAGAGAGGCCUCGGAAGGGACCAACCCUGCGGACGCCUUGUUCUCGGGUUCCAGAACUAUGGGGAAGUAAUUUCUGUUGUUGCAGCGACCUGCCCGGCGCUCUGUUAAGGCGGCGAGCAGACUCCUCCGGAAGCGCAGGCACCACCUCGAUGAUGCAGCCGUCUGAACGUCGUCUUAUUACUAUUAUUGCUAAUUAAAACAUAUACAUGGUGAGAAAAAAAAGUUCUAAUAGUGGAAAAGGGUAGAAAAUGAACAUUUUCAUCUCUCUUUUCUCCCCUCAGCCCUCUGUAAUCACUCCCCUGAGGUACGUCCUGUUAACAGAGUUUGUAUUAAAUCAUCGCGCGCGAGCAUCGGGGUUUAUUUAUUCACUAUCCAGUGAACACUGACUCCCACCCGCGUGCCAGGCAUUGUGCGGGUCGCGCACAAAGAUACGGCGCUAUUUCCACCCUUAGGGCCGGCAUGCGGUGGAGCCCGCUUCUGCCUGGGGUCAGGCCGCCGGGAGGAAGAGGAGGCAGCGCUGGAGCCAGAUUGCAGCGAACACAGUUGUCACCUGGAGAAGCCCAGGCCCGGGAGCAUCCCGCGGAGCCCAUGGGACACAGAGGAGGAACCAGGAGAGUCGGGGCAGGCGUCGCGGAGGAGGUGAGGUCUCGAAGAAGAGGCACUGGCCAGAGGAGGGUACGGAAGGACAUUACAGGAAAAGGAAGCACACUGCAGGGCCCAGGUGUCACCAGGGAUAGGUAUGUUUGUGGGGCAGACACGCAUUGCUUAUGGUAUGAGAAGCGCCUGGAAAGGUACCCAGAGUGA